CCCACGAUAGGGGGUAAAAGCAGCCAAAGCUGUUGGAGUGUGUGGGCAAGCAGAAAGUCUGCACUACUGAUGAGGGUCUCACUGCUCUCAGGCUCAGCCAUGUCACUCUGCUUCUCAUCUCCGUCCACGCUGCCUAUAUCAGCUCACAGCAAAGCCUGGCCGGACAGGAUAUGUGCCGAUUGUGCUGCUAAAGGAAGAGCUCCGUCAUAUGCUAAAAUGAUCAUCGGACCGUACACACCAGCCAGACAUCUCUAUUCGGUUACCGAGAGACAUCUGGUCCAUGGUGGUGGGAGUGUACUUGGCACUGCAGUCAGGACAGCGGACCAGCCCAUCUUCCGAUGCAUGAAACGCCACCGCUUCAGAUGCACUUGGGCUCUCCUGACCCUCUUUAGCUAUUGUUAUAAGUCGCAAAUCCAUGGGCUUAGAGUGAACCGGGCCUACAACACGCUAGACCUAUAUUUAAGAUAGAAUCUACGGCUAAAUAUUCGUACCCGAAUCUACUGUAUGUUGUGUAACUUAGUGUACAAGAGUGUAUCAACCAAACGACAAGAAAACCGAAACAAAACGCGGCACGUCUGCCAAGGGCAAGGCAGCCCCCCUCUUACCGGCAGAGAAGAUGACGACCAUGCACAGGACCGACCAGAGCUUCCUCCAGACCUCCAGCCAGCGCCGGUGUUUCUUCUUUUUUGCUCAAUUAUUAGUUUUGAUUUUGGUGGGAAAUGGACGAUUAUAAGAAAACGAACCGACAAAAACAUCAAUGCACGUGACGGUGAGACGACAAAAAGUAGAAAGUCCAGUGGUAGAGGAGGUUGGCAAAGAAAAUCCAGCCAGGCACGCAAACUCCGUCAUAAUGAGUGACACUUAUUCUGUAUACUAAUAAGCACAAUGCACAAAAUAAACAAAACUUCCGCAAA